AGCUUUGCACAGUGGCAGUAUCGUAGCCAAUGGGUUUAUCCGAGGUGCGAUUAUUGCUAAUUGAAAACUUUUCCCAAUACCCCGCCAUGACGACUUGAAAUAUAGUCGGCAUUGGCAAUUUUUGACAGUCUCUGCGGAGA
ensembl:snRNA U4 U4 spliceosomal RNA